rnacentral:rRNA from 1 species
CCGGCGAUUUCCGAAUGGGGAAACCCAGUGUGAUUCGUCACACUAUCAUUACGUGAAUACAUAGCGUAAUGAAGCGAACCGGGGGAACUGAAACAUCUAAGUACCCCGAGGAAAAGAAAUCAACCGAGAUUCCCCCAGUAGCGGCGAGCGAACGGGGAGCAGCCCAGAGUCUGAAUCAGCUUGUGUGUUAGUGGAACGGUCUGGAAAGUCCGACGGUACAGGGUGAUAGUCCCGUACACCAAAAUGCACAGGUUGUGAACUCGAAGAGUAGGGCGGGACACGUGGUAUCCUGUCUGAAUAUGGGGGGACCAUCCUCCAAGGCUAAAUACUCCUGACUGACCGAUAGUGAACCAGUACCGUGAGGGAAAGGCGAAAAGAACCCCGGCGAGGGGAGUGAAAAAGAACCUGAAACCGUGUACGUACAAGCAGUGGGAGCCUCUUUAUGGGGUGACUGCGUACCUUUUGUAUAAUGGGUCAGCGACUUAUAUUCUGUAGCAAGGUUAACCGUAUAGGGGAGCCGAAGGGAAACCGAGUCUUAACUGGGCGUUAAGUUGCAGGGUAUAGACCCGAAACCCGGUGAUCUAGCCAUGGGCAGGUUGAAGGUUGGGUAACACUAACUGGAGGACCGAACCGACUAAUGUUGAAAAAUUAGCGGAUGACUUGUGGCUGGGGGUGAAAGGCCAAUCAAACCGGGAGAUAGCUGGUUCUCCCCGAAAGCUAUUUAGGUAGCGCCUCGUGAAUUCAUCUUCGGGGGUAGAGCACUGUUUCGGCUAGGGGGUCAUCCCGACUUACCAACCCGAUGCAAACUGCGAAUACCGAAGAAUGUUAUCACGGGAGACACACGGCGGGUGCUAACGUCCGUCGUGAAGAGGGAAACAACCCAGACCGCCAGCUAAGGUCCCAAAGUCAUGGUUAAGUGGGAAACGAUGUGGGAAGGCACAGACAGCCAGGAUGUUGGCUUAGAAGCAGCCAUCAUUUAAAGAAAGCGUAAUAGCUCACUGGUCGAGUCGGCCUGCGCGGAAGAUGUAACGGGGCUAAACCAUGCACCGAAGCUGCGGCAGCGACACUAUGUGUUGUUGGGUAGGGGAGCGUUCUGUAAGCCGUUGAAGGUGUGCUGUGAGGCAUGCUGGAGGUAUCAGAAGUGCGAAUGCUGACAUAAGUAACGAUAAUGCGGGUGAAAAACCCGCACGCCGGAAGACCAAGGGUUCCUGUCCAACGUUAAUCGGGGCAGGGUGAGUCGACCCCUAAGGCGAGGCCGAAAGGCGUAGUCGAUGGGAAACAGGUUAAUAUUCCUGUACUUGGUGUUACUGCGAAGGGGGGACGGAGAAGGCUAUGUUAGCCGGGCGACGG